GCAGGGCUCUGAGAGACCAACUGGGAGUACCUGGGGAAGUAUUUGCCUCUUUUUGUUGGUUGUGUUUGGCUCCAUGUCUAUCUUCUUCUGGAACCAAGAACUGAGAGGGGAGCUGGCUUUGAAAAAUAUAGCAGAGAAGAGCACAUUUUUCAAAUGGAUGCAAUACAAGAGACUUGGAGAGGUGGACCUGUUUAUGUAGGAGAGUAAAAGCUCCAAGUCUUUUUCAACUUAAAUGAUUCUAUGAUCUCCUUGCAUCAGCCAUGCUAUGCCCAAAGACUGGGCUAUGAAGUAGGAAGAGGAGAUGACAGUGGGAUUGAGAGAGACCUAGAGACAAUUCAAACAGUCUGCAACCAGCAGGAAGAGCUAAAAGGAAAAUCCAGCCUCCUCAGGAUCAAUUUGCUGUGUCCUCUUCAUCUUUUGUUAUUUUCCCUUCUGAUUAAAGAAGUGGUUUUAGCAGUGCAUCUCCUGUGAUGAGGGACCAUGCUAGCUGCCUGUCAGGUAUGAUUGCUUGUUUAAACAUAGCCUAUUGGGAAAAAGUUUGCAGCAGGUCCAGUGUGACCUGUGGCAGGCUGAACUGGCAUCCACAAUGUACACGUGAAAUGCUUCCCCCAUCUGUACCUCUUAUUAGCUGUACAUUGAGGAAUGUAUUCAUUUGCCUGUGAAUCCUGCAAACUGACCCUCAGAGACACAAAUCUUUUGGGAUAUAGAAGAAAUGACAAAUAUUUGAUUGACUUGCUUUUGCAAAGU